AGGUAGCAUUCCUCACGGACAUCGGACCGCACGGCACGAGACCGGAACGGCGCCGAACGUCGUUUGAAAUUAGCGUUUAAGCUUACUGCGGGCAUAUAGGAGUCGUCGACCCCGUACCCCUCGCGUUUUCCGCAUCCCUGAUAUCGAACGUCAACUCGUUGGCCGCGGCAAUAACGCGGUAAGCGUUAGCCGGGGAUAACGAGAGACGUUUUGAGUAUCACCCUCGGCCGCACCGCACAAUCGGGCAACCUAAGGCGAACGGUGAAAAAUUGCCGACCGAGUUCCUUUGAUAGGUACGCAACACAGGAAACCGACGUGCGGCCAACAUAUGUUGUGCCGAAAAAUGAAGAGGAAAGAACGGUAGGACGUCGCCGCACAAGGCCGGGAUCCAACC
rnacentral:misc_RNA from 1 species